AUUUUCCCCUUACUGUACAGAGGGAUGCGCUCUGAGAGCACUGUAUAGUCUGAUGAGAAUCCCAUGAUGUCUCAUUGAGCCGAACCUCCAGGCUAGGGAUGACCUGAGCUCAGGUGACAAAAGGGUCCCUGUUAUUAUGCCACAAUGUGGUGCGACAAAACCAGUCCAGCACAAGCUCGGAGUCAGAGGUCAC